rnacentral:rRNA from 1 species
CGGAGGCAGCAGUGGGGAAUAUUGGACAAUGGGCGCAAGCCUGAUCCAGCCAUGCCGCGUGGGUGAUGAAGGCCCUAGGGUUGUAAAGCCCUUUCAGCGGGGAAGAUAAUGACGGUACCCGCAGAAGAAGCCCCGGCUAACUUCGUGCCAGCAGCCGCGGUAAUACGAAGGGGGCUAGCGUUGCUCGGAAUUACUGGGCGUAAAGCGCACGUAGGCGGAUUGUUAAGUCGGGGGUGAAAUCCUGGAGCUCAACUCCAGAACUGCCUUCGAUACUGGCGAUCUCGAGUCCGGGAGAGGUGAGUGGAACUGCGAGUGUAGAGGUGAAAUUCGUAGAUAUUCGCAAGAACACCAGUGGCGAAGGCGGCUCACUGGCCCGGUACUGACGCUGAGGUGCGAAAGCGUGGGGAGCAAACAGGAUUAGAUACCCCGGUAGC